AACAUAUAACACUUCACGCAAGAGGUGCCACAGCAAUAAUUGCAAAUAGAAAUUAUCUAAGUUACAGCUGAGAAGGGAGAAAAGCUCCAAAAUAAAAGAUAAAGAAAUCAGACCUGGCCCAGGACAGUUCAUAAGUGAACUGUAAUAUAUUAUUCAAGGAUCUGUCUUCACGCUGGGGCUUGUCAGCAGCUCAUAAAUCUAUUGUGGCAUCUUUAUAAAUGAAGCCGCAAGUUUUGGCAGUCACUGCUGUUUCUUUUAUUAGCCUAAAGGACUGAGUCAAGGCUUAUUCGACAUUAGAGGUACAUAAUGUGCAAGUUUGCAGAACACAACAGGUGCCAAAUCCUGUAACCAAGCCAUUCUGGUUAUGAUCCAGAAGAAGCUGUGUUCCAGUCUUCAGUCGAGUGACCCAGAAACUAAGCGUAAUGUGAGAUCUCACUCCUGCCGUCUCACCAGACUCGUCAAACAAGGGUUUCCUCACCGUCUGAUGAACUCCUUUGACACAUCACUGAAGCGACCCAGAGGAUCUGCAGAUUCACAUUUUGACCCUUAGAAAAUAGUGGAUGUUCUACUAAUUUAAGCCCUUCAUAACCUAUUGAUCUACAGCUUUGUUUUAGAUUAUACUGUGCAUGAAUGCCUGUAAAUGUGUACAUUAGAAAGCAGAAUAUAAAGGAAAUGUUACAAGUUCAUGAAGAUGAAAUAGACAUCAAUAGUUCUCUUUUAGUCCCAGGAUGCUACCUGAACUCAACCGAGUGAGCUGACAAAAGCUGUGAUCUGGACAAAGGGUGAGACAAUGUCCACGUUGUUUAACAUGUUUGGGAUUACUUCUUUAUUUCCAUUCUUCCCUUUCUAAUUUGGGAAAUCUAUGAUUAUUAAUAGUUUAUAAAAAUUGGCUGUAUGUAAGUUUUGACUCUACCAUAAAACCAUACUACAGGGUGGGCCAUUUAAAUGGGUACACCUUAAUAAACAUAUUGGGAAUUUCACAAAAAAAAAAAAAUGGUGUCUUGGUUUUAACAUAACUUUAUUCUUUCAUGAGUUAUUUACAUGCCCCUCACAUAUACUAAUGUGCCACAAACAAGACGUUAAUAUCACCAACCAUUCCCAUUUUAUUAAGGUGUAUCCAUAUAAAUGGCCCACCCUGUCUAUUAUGUUUGAAGAUAUAUAAGAAACAUGCUAAGUGAACACUUGUUUAUCUGAAAAACAAUACUAAAAUCAGUUAUUCUACUUUGAAAAUGUGUAUUCUGUGUCAGAAUGUCUGUCUUUGUUUUGUCUCUAUAACCCACCCACGGAUAGUUUAACCAAUUAUAUUUCAUCACUCUGGGUUGCCUUGAUGGAAAAUACACUGUAUUUCAUUUUAAACUUGAAAGUGCAUCAAUGUUUUGAAGUGCGGCCUUCAGUGGACAGUAGGAGCCUCCGAAAUGAGA